GUCAGAUUCAGGUUUAUUAUCAUUGAUGUAUGUCGUGAAAUUUGUUGUUUUGUUUUGUGGCAGUAGUUGUGAUGGUAUUGCGUUUGCUGACUGAUGGAAAUCCAUAUCAACACACACAAAAUGCUGGAGACACUCAGCAGGUCGGGCAGAGACCCAUCUUCAGGACUGGAGGGGAAUGACAGCACCCACACUUUCCUCUUCUGCCUGCAGCGAGUUGCAGCAGCGCGAUUCCUUUCAAGAAAUUUCCUCCGUCUUUCGUCAGGGUCUUCAUCAACAACUCUUCUUCUUCGGCCCCCACUGCUUGGUGCUGGGUGUCCUGAUUGAGGAGAUUGUAUCUGUUGUGCUCCAGGGGUUCCUGUCCUGCAACCAUGAGGCCAUUCGCAGGACCGAGGAGCAACACCUCCAACCAGAUGGCAUCAACAUCUACUUCUCACACUUACGGCAUUCACAGAAGAAGCAAGAAUUACAUUAGAAUCAAUGAAAACUUCACAUAGAGACUGAGAAACAACCACUAUGCAAAAGACAAACUGCAAGUACAAAAAAGGCAGCAUCCAUCAUUACAGACCCCCAUCACCCAGAACAUGCCCUCUUCUCAUUGCUAUCAUCAAGAAAGAGGUACAGAAGCAUGAAGACACACACUCAACAAUUCAGGAAUGGCUUCUUCCCCUCUGCCAUCUGAUUUCUGAACGGAUAUUGAACCCAUGAACACUACCUCACAACUUACUUUUUAA